AGCGCAGGCGGGAAAUUAAGCGGAUCUUAAAAGUGCGGGGCUCAACCCCGUGAUGGGGUCCGAACUGGUUUUCUUGAGUGCAGGAGAGGAAAGCGGAAUUCCCAGUGUAGCGGUGAAAUGCGUAGAUAUUGGGAAGAACACCAGUGGCGAAGGCGGCUUUCUGGACUGUAACUGACGCUGAGGCUCGAAAGCUAGGGUAGCGAACG
rnacentral:rRNA from 1 species